GAUUUAAUAUAGGUAUUAGGUGGUAUAGUGCAGAAGGUAUUGACGAUAGUGCUUUAACUACGCAAACAAAAGAGACUAAAUUGAUUAACAACAAAAUAUUUUUUAAGGUGUUGGGUAGUGGAUUAUAUGCUCCAACCAAUAGCCUUGUGUUGUCUGUAUUCGGUAUCCGGCAUAUCUUUAACUGUGGAGAAGGAACGGAUCGAAUGAUCGGUUAUCUGAAAUUACGUCGAGCUGUAUCUAGUCAUCUGUACAUAACCAGUACAGGCUGGCAGAAUAUUGGUGGUGUACCCGGAUACGCUCUUCUUACCAGG